rnacentral:rRNA from 1 species
UACGGGGGGGGCAAGCGUUGUUCGGAAUUACUGGGCGUAAAGGGCGCGUAGGCGGCCUGCUAAGUCGGAUGUGAAAUCCCUCGGCUCAACCGAGGAACUGCAUCCGAUACUGGCGGGCUUGAAUCCGGGAGAGGGAUGUGGAAUUCCAGGUGUAGCGGUGAAAUGCGUAGAUAUCUGGAGGAACACCGGUGGCGAAGGCGGUUCUCUGGGCCUUACCUGACGCUGAGGAGCGAAAGCGUGGGGAGCGAACAGG